rnacentral:rRNA from 1 species
GAUGAACGCUGGCGGCGUGCCUAAUACAUGCAAGUCGAGCGAACAGACGAGGAGCUUGCUCCUCUGACGUUAGCGGCGGACGGGUGAGUAACACGUGGAUCACCUACCUAUAAGACUGGGAUAACUUCGGGAAACCGGAGCUAAUACCGGAUAAUAUAUUGAACCGCAUGGUUCAAUAGUGAAAGACGGCUUUGCUGUCACUUAUAGAUGGAUCCGCGCCGCAUUAGCUAGUUGGUAAGGUAACGGCUUACCAAGGCAACGAUGCGUAGCCGACCUGAGAGGGUGAUCGGCCACACUGGAACUGAGACACGGUCCAGACUCCUACGGGAGGCAGCAGUAGGGAAUCUUCCGCAAUGGGCGAAAGCCUGACGGAGCAACGCCGCGUGAGUGAUGAAGGUCUUCGGAUCGUAAAACUCUGUUAUUAGGGAAGAACAAAUGUGUAAGUAACUAUGCACGUCUUGACGGUACCUAAUCAGAAAGCCACGGCUAACUACGUG